AAGGGAGAGGGCGAUCUUGGGAGAGUGCUAAUUUUUCUAAGCCAUGGUUAAACUCCAUGGGUCCCUUG
rnacentral:tRNA from 1 species